rnacentral:rRNA from 1 species
GAUGGACGCUGGCGGCGUGCUUAACACAUGCAGGUCGAGCGAAGCGAUUUUGAUGAAGUUUUCGGAUGGAAUUAAGAUUGACUGAGCGGCGGACGGGUGAGUGACGCGUGGGUAACCUGCCUCAUACAGGGGGAUAACAGUUAGAAAUGACUGCUAAUACCGCAUAAGCGCACAGGACCGCAUGGUCUGGUGUGAAAAACUCCGGUGGUAUGAGAUGGACCUGCGUCUGAUUAGCUUGUUGGCGGGGUAACGCCACAAGGCGACGAUCAGUAGCCGACCUGAGAGGGUGACCGGCCAC